UGGGGAAUAUUGCACAAUGGAGGGAACUCUGAUGCAGCGACGCCGCGUGAACGAAGAAGGCUUUCGAGUUGUAAAGUUCUUUUAUAUGGGAAGAUAAUGACGGUACCAUAAGAAAAAGCCCCGGCUAACUACGUGCCAGCAGCCGCGGUAAUACGUAGGGGGCUAGCGUUGUCCGGAAUCACUGGGCGUAAAGGGUUCGCAGGCGGAAAUGCAAGUCAGGUGUAAAAGGCAGUAGCUUAACUACUGUAAGCAUUUGAAACUGCAUAUCUUGAGAAGAGUAGAGGUAAGUGGAAUUUUUAGUGUAGCGGUGAAAUGCGUAGAUAUUAAAAAGAAUACCGGUGGCGAAGGCGACUUACUGGGCUCAUUCUGACGCUGAGGAACGAAAGCGUGGGUAGCAAACAGG
rnacentral:rRNA from 2 species